rnacentral:rRNA from 1 species
AGUCAACCUAACUCGUGGACGUGGAUAACCUCGGGAAACUGAGAAUAAACCACGAUAGAUCAUAGUGCCUGGAAUGGCUUAUGGUCCAAACAGUUUACUGCCAUGGGAUGGGACUGCGGCCUAUCAGCUUGUUGGUGAGGUAAUGGCCCACCGAAGCGAUUACAGGUACGGGCUCUGAGAGGAGAAGCCCGGAGAUGGGUACUGAGACACGGACCCAGGCCCUAUGGGGCGCAGCAGGCGAGAAACCUUAGCAAUGUGCGAAAGCACGACUGGGUCAGUCCGAGUGAUUCCUGAUAAAGGAGUCUUUUGCUUGUCCUAAAAGCACAGGUGAAUAAGGGGUGGGCAAGUCUGGUGUCAGCCGCCGCGGUAAUGCCAGCACCUCGAGUGGUCAGGACGUUUAUUGGGCCUAAAGCAUCCGUAGCCGGCUCUGCAAGUCUUCGGUCAAAUCCACCUGCUCAACAGAUGGGCUGCUGGAGAUACUACAGAGCUAGGGAGUGGGAGAGGCAGACGGUAUUCAGUGGGUAGGGGUAAAAUCCUCUGAUCCAUUGAGGACCACCAGUGGCAAGGCGGUCUGCCAGAACACGUUCGACGGUGAGGGAUGAAAGCUGGGGGAGCAAACCGGAUUAGAUACCCGGGUAGUCCCAGCUGCAAACGAUGCAAACUCGGUGAUGCAUUGGCUUAUGGCCAAUGCAGUGCCGCAGGGAAGCCGUUAAGUUUGCCGCCUGGGAAGUACGGACGCAAGUCUGAAACUUAA